CUGUAAAUUUGUCAUGGCAUUUAUUACAAGAAAGAAAUACAAUCAACUUGUCAAUCAAAACUUGAUGACGAUUGAAUUACUGAAGGGCGAUCCAGCAGUAACAAAGUUAUAUCAGGAGCCACUGGGUAGUCCAUAGCAGCUUAAAGUAAAUUUCGCCUGUCCAUUCACAAUUAUACAUAAAAGCUCCAAACUCAGUCUGUUAUAUAUGCC
rnacentral:lncRNA from 1 species